GCCUGAACUGGAGUAGGCUUGCAGGGAGGGCCCAAGCAAGCAAGAAAGGAGGCAGGCAGAGUGGCCACCACAGCUCUCUGCAGCAGACCCUCUGCCCAGCCCAGCAUUUGCCAGAUGUGCAUGCACAGUGCUCAGCUACAUGCUUCCAGAAAGCUCCAAAGAAGUACAGCAAAGAAAUCCCAGAAACCAUUCAUCAGAGGCAUCUCUAGGAGAGAAAAUAGAAGGAUGUCUAUGGAGGGAAAUACUUAACUGACUGUCAAGGAAGGAAACUUUACGGAUCUUCCCUGCCUCUGAAAGCGCUCUGUGUCUUUAAAAAAAUAUGAAUCUUGCAGCCCUCAGUGUCGGUGUUAAAGGCCCAGCAAGGAGUGGUUUGCUGUGAGGCAAUGUGAAGCAAAGGAGUAGGAAUGUAUACGAACCAGGUUGGCGGCCUUGUUACGGAUCUCUGAACCGGUUCGAAGGACUGGAGUUUUCCAACAAAGUAUGAGAAUUCAGCAGAAAGAAAGAAAGAAAGAAAGAAAGAAAGAAAGAAAGAAAGAAAGAAAGAAAGAAAGAAUUCCAGAGUGUGUGCAUGACAGAGACAUCUCUGGAAUAGGUUCAGAGACGAAAAGGAAAUUCUUUGCAUUAAAUGUUUACAAUUCAAGCUGUUGCCGUGUGUAAUAUUUUUUGAUUGUAUUGGACUAUUGGACUGCAGAAUUACCAAAUGGCUUCAGCUAAAGUGGCCAUUACAGAAGUCAAUAAUUAUGGUUCUGUCUGAGAGGCUAUCCUAUUACAGUGUGAUAGAAAUGAAAAAGAAAAGAAAAUCACCAAAACCCCUGAGGUUUGAAAAUGUGACAGAGACCCAGAAAUCGGUAGUAUGAACGAUGGUAUUGAUAUCCAGAACUGCAUAUUUGCUGGAUGUGAAUAGAUUUUAAAAGAGUAUCAGAAAUAUCUGAAGCAUCUUCUCAGGCAAAUAUAAGAAGAUAAAAGCACACAUGUAGUUCUAUAAUGAAUGCCUCUGAGGGCCAGUUUGGAUGAUACCAUCAGCCCACAGGAUUAGGGGAUGCACUGAGAAUGUGAUCAUUAUGACAUCCUGAUGUCCUCCCCACAUUCCUUUAUCGUAUUUGGGGCUGUCUAUCUCAACAGCCCCUCUACAAGCACCUCCAUAUGAUAAAGGAAUAUGCCAGGAGAAUGUUGGGACAUCCACAGAGGACAUCAUGAUGGGUGCCGAAUUGCAUGGGCUGAGGAGGUAUUAUCCAAACUGGCCCUAUUUGUGUUCAGUUUUGAAACUGGCCCUAUUUUUGUCCAGUUUCCUCGUGCCUGGGCUGUACCAUUUUUGUCUGUAGGUAGAGGGACAUGGCCAUUUCUGUGACAGAUUGUUUAUGUAGAGCAAUGUAAAGGCUCCUGCCUGAUUAAAUAAUUUCAAGCUAUAGUCCUCCUAAACACACCUACAAGAAAGUAAGCAAUCUUAGGGUUGCAUUGCUAAAUUGAUCAUUGACACGAAUGUUAAUUGACUAAAUUUGCAUAUUUGGAUAUGAAUAAGUCCAACAACUCUGGAAAGUGGUGGGUGGAGGGAGCACUUACAUUGUUUUAAGAACAUAAACAUGGCAUGAUUGCCUUGAAAAUAAGAGAAACAAAGUGCUGGAAUAUUUAGAUGUCAUUUUUCAUCCAGUGGCAAAGCUUAAGGCUCUUCUAUAAUACAGGAACGUCUGCUAAUCCAUCUCUGAUAUCACUAGUGCCCAUAGUUAUACUCUGUCAAGACAGCAUAAACCCUUCCUCCCUGCCAGCCUUAGAAGCUGAUACAUUUAACUGCCUCACUGGGGUGAGAUUCAUAUCUUCAGAUUAGCUCAGAUUCAAAUUCUAUCGUAACACAGCGACCAGGAAUGAAAUAAGCUCACACAUGACAAAGGAGUCUAUAAAAUAGGCUAUACUAUAAUAAAGGUAAAG